UAGCACCGUACCCACCCCCCCGCCCCAUCACAGCUGUAGUGACUAGGUUAAGGUCCAUCUAUCCCAGUAGACUGAAAGCCUCUGAGGAAAGAUAUAUAUGUCUUAUUCCCUGCAUGUGGCAAAUCAUGUUCCCUGCAUGUGUAUAAUAAAUAUUUGCAGGCUCUAUGGCUGGCUCACCUUGGAGGCAACAUCUAUGAUGUUUUGUAGCCUGGAUUGGCCUUCUUUCCCAUUAACUCUUCUCUUGAACAGUGGCAAGAGCAUCAUCAGCCUCUGUCUCACCCAAGCACAUGCAACAUGA
rnacentral:lncRNA from 1 species